rnacentral:rRNA from 1 species
ACGAAGGGUGCAAGCGUUAAUCGGAAUUACUGGGCGUAAAGGGUGCGUAGGCGGUUCGUUAAGUCUGUCGUGAAAUCCCCGGGCUCAACCUGGGAAUGGCGAUGGAUACUGGCGAGCUAGAGUGUGGCAGAGGGGGGUGGAAUUCCGCGUGUAGCAGUGAAAUGCGUAGAGAUGCGGAGGAACACCGAUGGCGAAGGCAGCCCCCUGGGCUAGCACUGACGCUCAGGCACGAAAGCGUGGGGAGCAAACAGGA